UGCGUAGGCGGCAUGUCAAGCCAGAGGUGAAAGGCAUUGGCUCAACCAAUGUAAGCCUUUGGAACUGACGUGCUUGAGUACAGGAGAGGUAAGUGGAAUUCCUAGUGUAGAGGUGAAAUUCGUAGAUAUUAGGAGGAACACCAGUGGCGAAGGCGACUCACUGGACUGUAACUGACGCUGAGGCACGAAAGCGUGGUAGCGAACA
rnacentral:rRNA from 1 species